AUUAACGCUAGCGGCAGGCAUAAUACAUGCAAGCUGAACGGCAGCACAGGUAGCAGUACUGGGUGGCGAGUGGCGCACGGGUGCGUAACACGUAUGCAACCUACCCUAUACAGGCGAAUAACCUUUAGAAAUGAGGGCUAAUACGCCGUAGUAUUACAGAUGGGCAUCUAUUUGUAAUUAAAGAUUUAUCGGUAUAGGAUGGGCAUGCGUCCCAUUAGUUAGUUGGUAAGGUAACGGCUUACCAAGACGAUGAUGGGUAGGGG
rnacentral:rRNA from 1 species